GUACUGAUGAAGAGUCUCAAACUAGGACGAAAUAGCUGUCCAGUAC
rnacentral:hammerhead_ribozyme from 1 species